GGGUGUGAGGGCGAUCUGGAUGCGACAUCUGUCACCCCAUUGAUCCGCCAAGGGUGAUACGGCUGAUCUGGCUGGC
rnacentral:snRNA from 1 species